CUGUCUUCGCCGGCUGAAAGAAAUCAGAAGAGGAUUUUCCCUUUUACAACAAAAGCAUCAGCCUAUCAGAAGCUGGGGGAUAUACCCUUUGCUUUACACCAUUUCAAUUUACAAAAGGCUUCAUAGGAACUCUCCACUUUUGUUUGGAUAUCAGGGGGAACCUGUAAUUCUAUUCUUCUUGAUAAAGCUGGCGCAUGAUCAGGUGUGACCGGGCUAAUUCGGGCCACUGAGGGGAUUGCUCAGCAGUUCUGGGAAGUUUCCCUUCUCUCGCUGGAUUUGAACAGGGAAUCAUGGUGGCCUAAUCACCAGUGAGGGGCAUCUGUUGGCCACAAGACGAAACAUCUUGAAUGACAUUAACCUUAAAAGCAGCAGAGAAGCUUCCCCUCCACCGGGCCGAGCAUCGAGCCAGGACCCUCGCUCCUUCAUGCUCUUUGGAGGGCCCGAGAGCUGGCCACCCUGUCCAGUCUUUGGGACAACGACCGUGUAGAGGCCCCAGUGAGCCUGCCUCCUUCUUCAAGCCAGCUCCACCCACAGGCAUUUUCCUGGGGAAGACGGCGGCCACCGCGCCCUCGGGCCAGGUGCAGAGACGAAUCCUGUAUGGCAUCUACACGAGGUGCUGGAGCCCCCGGACAUAGCGAGCGCCACGUGUGGAUCCACCCGGAGAUGUGACCCAGAGGAGGGGCA